UCAAACACUGCUGUCGCCUGCAAACAGAAACGACAAACUGAGAUCUGCUGGAGAGUGAUCAGCCACCCCUCCCCUCAAGAGUUAACUGGAAUGAACCCUGUCCUUACUGACAGGCUGGUGAACUCCAGCGUUCAGCCAAUUAGCACAACAGGUGGAUGGGACCUAGAGAGCUCUUGGGAGGAAGAAGGCAGUUCUUUGUUUGAGAAGAGAAGGACAUAUGGCAAGGAAGAAUGGCUGCAGGAAGAUGACACUGCAAGUCCUGGAAAGCCAAGAGGGCAGGAGACUUGAAUUCUCAACCAGGGUUUGCUGCAUGGAUCCCCAGAAAGGCUGCUCCUGUGGAUUGAAGGGAUGUCCGGAAAAAUAUGGGCUACUGAGAGGAGCCUGCAGCAGGAAGGGGAAAUUAGCCAAAAUCAGGCAGAGGCACUUUGCAUGAGUGAUGCCCAGCUUCCCCUGCAGCCCACCAUACUACCUUCUACACUGUUCUGGAGAACCCCUGAUUCUCAAUUUAAUCUGUCUAGAGGUCACAGGGGAAGAAGGGUUGGAAAAGUGUCCAUCCGCUCAUACUUCUCUGAAUUCAACUCACUAUCUUUCAGGUUAACUUAUUUUACAGGGUUGUUG